AGUUUGAUGAUAAUUCAAUAGGAAUUCAAUCAAUAGGAUUCUAAUCAACUGAACAAUAGUACUUGUGGAUUCGCAGCCUUUCUGACAAAAAAAUAGGAGAACUCGUUACAGCAUUGACAUCAAUCAAGUGUCCUGGCUGAUGCAACAUCCAAUAGGAAUUCGAUCAUAUAAUUCAAUAAGAAUUCAAUCAAUAGGAUUCCAAUCAACUGAGCAAUAAUACUUGUGGAUUCGCAGCCUUUCUGACAAAGCAAUAAGAGAAUUCGUUACAGUAUUGACAUUAAUCAAGUGUCCUGGCUGAUGCAACAUUCAAUAGGAAUUUGAUCAUAAUUGAAUUGAGAUUCAAUCAAUAGGAUUCUAAUCAACUGAACAAUAGAACUGAUGAUUAUCCACAGCUCCUGCGACAAUCCAGUAGUUGAAUUUUGAUAUAAAUACGGCUACCUCGACACUCAGAUAGUCAGAAGCUUCCGAGAUCAUCUUGCUGUUUCACAACAUUGACAGAUCUUCUCUCAAUCACCAAAAUUGAGAUGAAGUUCUUCUACAUAGCUCUCAUAGCAUCUGCGUUGCGUUGGUUGUCAUGCUGAUGUCUCCGGUUCUUGCCAUUCCCAAGCCCGGUCAAGUUGCUCUAAAAGGACGCAAAUGAUUUCUCAUUUUUUAAAUUGCGUUUUCUAGUUCAAUUGAAAUAAUGUAAUAAAUGCGAUUGCUACUUGUGAAAUGGA